AGAGUUUGAUCCUGGCUCAGAAUGAACGUUGGCGGCGUGGAUUAGGCAUGCAAGUCGAGCGAGAAGCUUUUUUUUGAUCUUUCGAGUGAAGAAAGAAGUGGACAGCGGCGAAAGGGAGAGUAACGAGUAGAUUACGUACCUGAGGGUUCAGGAUAGCGGGGGGAAACCGCCGGUAAUACUGAAUAAUGUUUCCGAACCAAAGAUUUAUCGCCCUCGGAGCGGUUUGCUUACUAUUAGUUUGUUGGUGGGGUAAAGGCCUACCAAGGCUAAGAUGGUUAGCGGGUGUGAGAGCAUGGCCCGUCUCACUGGGACUGAGACACUGCCCAGACACCUACGGGUGGCUGCAGUCGAGAAUCUUCCGCAAUGGACGAAAGUCUGACGGAGCGACGCCGCGUGCGGGAUGAAGGCCUUCGGGUUGUAAACCGCUGUCGUAGGGGAGGAAAUUUUGACCGAUCCUAGGAGGAAGCACAGGCUAAGUUCGUGCCAGCAGCCGCGGUAAUACGAACUGUACAAACGUUAUUCGGAAUCACUGGGCUUAUAGGGUGCGUAGGCGGCCUGGAAAGUUGGGUGUGAAAUCCCUCGGCUCAACCGAGGAAUUGCGCUCAAUACUGCCAGGCUAGAGGGAGACAGAGGUGAGCGGAACUCAGGGUGGAGCGGUGAAAUGCGUUGAUAUCCUGAGGAACACCAGUGGCGAAGGCGGCUCACUGGGUCUCUUCUGACGCUGAGGCACGAAAGCUGGGGGAGCGAACGGGAUUAGAUACCCCGGUAGUCCUAGCUGUAAACGAUGAGCACUGGGUCGGAGGAUCCUCCAUAGUUUUCCGACCGUAGCGAAAGUGUUAAGUGCUCCGCCUGGGGAGUAUGGUCGCAAGGCAA
rnacentral:rRNA from 1 species